GAUUGGUAGCAGGUUCAUCUUUGGUCCGCGGUGGGGAAUCUAAUGGAGAUGAGGAAUGACCCAGACUGGCAACUUGACAAGCCUUUGGCACAGGUGUGGACAUGUUUGGAGCAAAUAAGGCUGGAGGACAAGUAUGCGCUAUCUUUUGCUCUCUGGGAGACCAGAAUGUGGCUAUCAUGGAGCCCUUCGAUUUUAACAGAGAUCCUUU
rnacentral:lncRNA from 1 species